rnacentral:lncRNA from 1 species
UGACCGGGGGGGUCCCGGUACCGGCUGGGGGGGUUGGGGGGGUGAUAGAGGGGGAAUGGGGGGAUCGAUGUCGCGAUAACGGGACCAGGGGGUGAUGGUGAGUCAGCUACUAUCGCGAUAGUGGGGGCUAAUGGUGAAUCCAUCGGCACUGAGGUACCGGGGGCUGUCGGUGAGUCCCUCAUAUCGCGAUAUGGUCGCCCAGUGUCAUACCAGUGGGUAAUGGUGAGUCAGCCAGUAUCGCGAUAGAGUCACCCAGUGUCAUGCCAGUGCCUGAUGCUGGGUCCCCAGAGUCGUGAUAGCGGUGGCUGAUGGGUGCUCAGUGUCGUGAUAACGCAGAGUAACACUGGGUGCUCAGUAUCACGAUAGCAGUGCCUAACGGGCCCCCGCCGCAGCCAUUUGGAGGAAGUUGGGGAAGAGCCGAGCCCGCCCUGGAAGCUGGAGGGGGAGGACACGGCCGCCGCCACCCCCCCGCGCCCCACGGCCCCCAGUGGGGGCACCAUGUCCGCCGGGGGGGCUCCCCAGCCUGCCCACGUCCUGAACCUGCUCCCUUACCCCAGGCUGAA